AACUCCCAAACCCUUUGUGAACCUUACCAUAUUGUUGCUUCGGCGGGACCGCCCCGGCGCCUUCGGGCCCGGAACCAGGCGCCCGCCGGAGGCCCCAAACUCUUAUGUCUUUAGUGGUUUUCUCCUCUGAGUGACACAUAAACAAAUAAAUAA
rnacentral:misc_RNA from 1 species